AUGGGGUUAUAGCUCAGUGGUAGAGUGCUUGCUUAGCAUGUGUGAUGAUGCACUGAGUUCAAUCCUCAGCACCACAUA
rnacentral:tRNA from 1 species